rnacentral:pre_miRNA from 1 species
CCAGUCGUAACCGAUGUUCCACAGCAGGGGGCCAGGACAGACCCCUGCGGAACACCGCGCUCGACGGG